GAUAAGGUUAAGUGAAUAAGGGCGCACGGUGGAUGCCUUGGCACUAGGAGCCGAUGAAGGACGGGACUAACACCGAUAUGCUUUGGGGAGCUGUAAGUAAGCUAUGAUCCAGAGAUUUCCGAAUGGGGGAACCCAAUAUCUUUUAUAGGAUAUUACUUUUCAGUGAAUACAUAGCUGAUUAGAGGUAGACGCAGAGAACUGAAACAUCUUAGUACCUGCAGGAAGAGAAAGAAAAUUCGAUUCCCUGAGUAGCGGCGAGCGAAACGGGAAGAGCCCAAACCAACAAGCUUGCUUGUUGGGGUUGUAGGACUCCAAUAUGGUAGUCUGUUAGUAUAGUUGAAGGAUUUGGAAAAUUCCGCUAAAGAGGGUGAAAGCCCCGUAGACGAAAUGCUGACAACACCUAGGAGGAUCCUGAGUACGGCGGAACACGAGAAAUUCCGUCGGAAUC
rnacentral:rRNA from 1 species